CGAACAAAGAGUAGGUGCAAGAGAAGAUGGCAUAGCACGUCGUCUGUCAGUCCAAGCACUAGGAAAAGAAACCAGAGUCUAUGAGGGUAUGUCACUGCUUCGCGCUUUCUUUUGGUUUGUUGAUGAUGCGCUCUUUCUUUCUUCCAUAAAUACAUUAGCAUCUGGCUUUAAGCUUCUGAGGGUGCUGGACUUGGAAGAUGCUCCAAUUGAAAAGUUGCCAAAUGACAUAGUCACUUUGUUUAAUUUGAGAUACUUGAACUUGAAAAGAACACUAGUUAAGGAGCUGCCAAAAUCAAUUGGAAGAUUGCAUAACCUUGAAACAUUAAAUAUUGAUGACACCAACAUUAAGGCCCUUCCAAAAGGGAUUGUUAAGUUGCAGAACUUGCGGUAUCUUCUAGCACGCCGUUUGAAUCCUGGACUGUACAAUGAUUUCGAUUAUGUAUCUGGCAUACAAGUGCAUUUAGAUAUAAGUACUUUAAAGAACUUGCAAGUUCUAGGUUGUGUAGAAUCUAGUGGAAAUAUGAUGAAGCAAGUGCAAAGCAUGACCCAGCUAGUGAG
rnacentral:misc_RNA from 1 species